rnacentral:rRNA from 1 species
AGUGAACGCUGGCGGCAGGCCUAACACAUGCAAGUCGAACGAGUGGCGGACGGGUGAGGAAUACCUCGGAAUCUGCUCUGUCGAGGGGGAUAACGACGGGAAACUUACGCUAAUACCGCAUACGAUCGAAUGAGCCCAUGUGGGAUUAGCUAGUUGGUGGGGUAACGGCUCACCAAGGCGACGAUCCCUAGCUGGUCUGAGAGGAUGACCAGCCACACUGGAACUGAGACACGGUCCAGACUCCUACGGGAGGCAGCAGUGGGGAAUAUUGGACAAUGGGCGCAAGCCUGAUGCAGCCAUACCGCGUGGGUGAAGAAGGUCUUCGGAUUGUAAAGCACUUUAAGUUGGGAGGCGUUACCAACAGAAUAAGCACCGGCUAACUUCGUGCCAGCAGCCGCGGUAAUAC